rnacentral:rRNA from 1 species
CGACCGGCGCACGGGUGAGUAACGCGUAUGCAACCUGCCUGAUACCGGGGUAUAGCCCAUGGAAACGUGGAUCAACACCCCAUAGUACUUUUAUCCUGCAUGGGAUGUGAGUUAAAUGUUCAAGGUAUCGGAUGGGCAUGCGUCCUAUUAGUUAGUUGGCGGGGUAACAGCCCACCAAGACGAUGAUAGGUAGGGGUUCUGAGAGGAAGGUCCCCCACAUUGGAACUGAGACACGGUCCAA